AUUGAACGCUGGCGGCAGGCCUAACACAUGCAAGUCGAGCGGCAGCGGGAAAGUAGCUUGCUACUUUUGCCGGCGAGCGGCGGACGGGUGAGUAAUGCCUGGGAAAUUGCCCAGUCGAGGGGGAUAACAGUUGGAAACGACUGCUAAUACCGCAUACGCCCUACGGGGGAAAGCAGGGGACCUUCGGGCCUUGCACGAUUGGAAAUGCCCAGGUGGGAUUAGCUAGUUGGUGAGGUAAUGGCUCACCAAGGCGCCGAUCCCUAGCUGGUCUGGGAGGAUGAUCAGCCACACUGGAACUGAGACACGGUCCAGGCUCCUACGGGAGGCAGCAGUGGGGAAUAUUGAACAAUGGGGGAAUCCCUGAUGCAGCCAUGCAGCGUGUGUGAAGAAGGCCUUCGGGUUGUAAAGCACUUUCAGCGAGGAGGAAAGGUUGAUGCCUAAUACGUAUCAACUGUGACGUUACUCGCAGAAGAAGCACCGGCUAACUCCGUGCCAGCCGCCGCCGUAAGAC
rnacentral:rRNA from 1 species